rnacentral:rRNA from 1 species
GGUAGGAGAGCGUUCUAUUUGCGUCGAAGGUAUACCGACAAGGAGUGCUGGAGCGAAUAGAAGUGAGCAUGCAGGCAUGAGUAGCGAUAAUUAAUGUGAGAAUCAUUAACGCCGUAAACCCAAGGUUUCCUACGCGAUGCUCGUCAUCGUAGGGUUAGUCGGGUCCUAAGCUGAGUCCGAAAGGGGUAAGCGAUGGCAAAUAGGUUAAUAUUCCUAUACCAACAUUAGUGUGCGAUGGAAGGACGCUUAGGGCUAAGGGGGCUAGCGGAUGGAAGUGCUAGUCUAAGGUCGUAGGAGGUUAUACAGGCAAAUCCGUAUAACAAUACUCCGAGAACUGAAAGGCUUUUUGAAGUCUUCGGAUGGAAAGAAGAACCCCUGAUGCCGUCGAGCCAAGAAAAGUUUCUAAGUUUAGCUAAUGUUGCCCGUACCGUAAACCGACACAGGUGGGUGGGAUGAGUAUUCUAAGGCGCGUGGAAGAACUCUCUUUAAGGAACUCUGCAAAAUAGCACCGUAUCUUCGGUAUAAGGUGUGCCUCCCUUUGUAUUAGAAUUCACUUCGAAAGCAAAGAAGGUUACAACAAAGAGUCCCUCCCGACUGUUUACCAAAAACACAGCACUCUGCUAACUCGUAAGAGGAUGUAUAGGGUGUGACGCCUGCCCGGUGCUCGAAGGUUAAUUGAUGGGGUUAGCAUUAGCGAAGCUCUUGAUCGAAGCCCGAGUAAACGGCGGCCGUAACUAUAACGGUCCUAAGGUAGCGAAAUUCCUUGUCGGUUAAAUACCGACCUGCAUGAAUGGCGUAACGAGAUGGGAGCUGUCUCAAAGAGGGAUCCAGUGAAAUUGUAGUGGAGGUGAAAAUUCCUCCUACCCGCGGCAAGACGGAAAGACCCCGUGGACCUUUACUACAGCUUGACACUGCUAUUUGGAUAAGAAUGUGCAGGAUAGGUGGGAGGCUUUGAGUAUAUGACGCCAGUUGUAUAUGAGCCAUUGUUGAGAUACCACUCUUUCUUAUUUGGGUAGCUAACCAGCUUGAGUUAUCCUCAAGUGGGACAAUGUCUGGUGGGUAGUUUGACUGGGGCGGUCGCCUCCCAAAUAAUAACGGAGGCUUACAAAGGUUGGCUCAUAGCGGUUGGAAAUCGCUAGUAGAGUAUAAAGGUAUAAGCCAGCUUAACUGCAAGACAUACAAGUCAAGCAGAGACGAAAGUCGGUCUUAGUGAUCCGGUGGUUCUGUGUGGAAGGGCCAUCGCUCAAAGGAUAAAAGGUACCCCGGGGAUAACAGGCUGAUCUCCCCCAAGAGCUCACAUCGACGGGGAGGUUUGGCACCUCGAUGUCGGCUCAUCGCAUCCUGGGGCUGGAGCAGGUCCCAAGGGUAUGGCUGUUCGCCAUUUAAAGCGGUACGCGAGCUGGGUUCAGAACGUCGUGAGACAGUUCGGUCCCUAUCUGCCGUGGGCGUAAGAAGAUUGAAGAGAUUUGACCCUAGUACGAGAGGACCGGGUUGAACAAACCACUGGUGUAGCUGUUGUUCUGCCAAGAGCAUCGCAGCGUAGCUAAGUUUGGAAAGGAUAAACGCUGAAAGCAUCUAAGCGUGAAGCCAACUCUAAGAUGAAUCUUCUCUAAGCUCUCUAGAAGACUACUAGUUUGAUAGGCUGGGUGUGUAAUGGAUGAAAGUCCUUUAGCUGACCAGUACUAAUAGAGCGUUUGGCUUAUCUUA